GCUGGCGUAGCUCAGUUGGUAGAGCAGCUGCCUUGUAAGCAGCAGGUCGCGGGUUCGAGUCCCACCGCCAGCUCAA
rnacentral:tRNA from 1 species